AGGUAACCAGUGACGUGGAGCCUCGGGUAUUGUGCUUGAAGCAUGCGAUCAAACACAUUCGUGCCACAGGCUCCCCAGCGGGCUUCCGAAUGCUGAGUAGAUACGACACGGGUCGACUGGAUGAGCUUGUUACCAAAGUCGAGGAAAAGCUCGGGAAAAUGAAACACUCGAUAAGCUAG